GACGAACGCUGGCGGCGCGCUUAACACAUGCAAGUCGAGCGAUGAAAUUUCGACAGAUCCCUUCGGGGUGAAGAUGAAAUGGAUUAGCGGCGGACGGGUGAGUAACACGUGUGUAACCUGCCUUUGACAUUGGGAUAGCCUCGGGAAACUGGGAUUAAUACCAAAUGACACUAACUGAUCACAUGAUCAAUUAGUCAAAGAAAUUCGGUCAAAGAUGGACUCGCGGCUGAUUAGCUAGUUGGUGAGGUAACGGCCCACCAAGGCGACGAUCAGUAGCCGGCCUGAGAGGGUGAUCCGCCACAUUGGAACUGAGACACGGUCCAAACUCCUACGGGAGGCAGCAGUGGGGAAUAUUGCACAAUGGGGGAAACCCUGAUGCAGCGACGCCGCGUGAGCGAAGAAGGCCUUCGGGACGUAAAGCUCUUUUAUGAGGGAAGAUAAUGACGGUACCUCAAGAAAAAGCCCCGGCUAACUACGUG
rnacentral:rRNA from 1 species